GAAAUGCGAUAAGUAGUGUGAAUUGCAGAAUUCAGUGAAUCAUCGAAUCUUUGAACGCACAUUGCGCCCUCUGGUAUUCCGGAGGGCAUGCCCGUUUCAGAAUCACAAUGUAAUCUCGCGCUUGCCCCGGUGUGCAGACGCCAGGGUCAAGGGUGGAUGGUGGGCCAUUUGUGUGGUGCACACACAAUGGCCUGAAAAGGAUUGCGACCGCUGCCGACGUCCGACAGGGCGCCCUCAAAGUGCAACAGAGAUGAUCUAUUUUCGCUCUGAGGGCCUGUGGACUGAACGCCUGCAGUGCUCGCUCCCCGAGGAAUGCAAGGUUGGGCCCCCGAUUCAGGGGUCCCCUCCGCACACAUGGUCUGAAAUCGGGCAAGAAAACCCGCUGAACUUAA
rnacentral:misc_RNA from 1 species